CUUUACACCACUUAAUGUUGAGUCUACGACCCGGCAGCCUAAUUACAAACAAAAACAGGAUUUGGCCGUAUCAGGAAGUCUGCGUUCCAUUCAUUCAACCUGAAAAAUGUUAGUCCUGGCUGCACUAAUGGAAUGGACUUGAUGGAAGAGAUGGCCAACCAGGACCUAAAGGAGAUAAGGGUUCAAUAGGACCAAUAGGAGACAUAGGUCCUGAGGGCCCAGCAGGACCUAAACUCUGUCAAUUUGCCAUCAUGUGACACUGAUCUCAAGAGGACAGAUGGCCUACUGGUGAACCUGGACCACCAGGAGACUUUGGGAUUGAACUUCUAGGGCCCAAGCUGACAUCUUUAUGUAAAACCAUACUUCAUAAUAUAGACAAUCUAAAUAAAUAAUUUAAUUCA